GAUGAACGCUGGCGGCGUGCUUAACACAUGCAAGUCGAACGAUGAAGCCCAGCUUGCUGGGUGGAUUAGUGGCGAACGGGUGAGUAACACGUGAGUAACCUGCCCUUAACUCUGGGAUAAGCCUGGGAAACUGGGUCUAAUACCGGAUAGGAGCGUCCACCGCAUGGUGGGUGUUGGAAAGAUUUAUCGGUUUUGGAUGGACUCGCGGCCUAUCAGCGUGUUGGUGAGGAAUGGCUCACCAAGGCGACGACGGGUAGCCGGCCUGAGAGGGUGACCGGCCACACUGGGACUGAGACACGGCCCAGACUCCUACGGGAGGCAGCAGUGGGGAAUAUUGCACAAUGGGCGCAAGCCUGAUGCAGCGACGCCGCGUGAGGGAUGACGGCCUUCGGGUUGUAAACCUCUUUCAGUAGGGAAGAAGCGAAAGUGACGGUACCUGCAGAAGAAGCACCGGCUAACUACGUG
rnacentral:rRNA from 1 species